CCCUUUUAAGCUAUAAGCUUUGUGAGAGAAUCUUCAUAUCUAAUUCCUCCUAAUCUUUCCUCUCUGUUAAUCUCAUUGCAUUAUCUUCUUCACUUUCCUCAGGUUGAACCAGAUGUUGGAGAUAAAAUUCCUCAUAGAAAAAAAUUCACGGUCUUUUUCACUCUCACUCUCUCGAGAUCUCAAACAAUUUUGAUCGGUUUCUUCCUCCAUGAUCCGCUGAAACACGUCGCCGUCGGCGAGAAUGGAAGGAAUCUAACGUCUCCGGCGACGAUGCCUUCGCCGUGAUCUGCAACAAGUAUGACCGAUACGGCAUCGACAAGUAGAAGGACUCUAAUGUCUCCGGCGACGAUGCCUUCGCUCGCCUCUACUCUGCCGUCGAGUUCGACAUUGAAGCUGCUCUUCAGAAAGCGGAGCUUGCAUCAAAAGAGAAAAGUAGGGCAUUUGCAGUUGCUCUGAAUGCGGUGAUUCGUCGGACCAAGGCUCGAUUGCUUAAAGAGGUUCCCAAGUUGCAGAGAUUGGCUGUAAAGAAGUGAGUAUUGUUUCCCUUCAUAUUGUUGAAUAAGGGACCUCACUUAUUCUGAGCAAAAAUUAUUGAACCAGGAAGGAAUGAAGAAUUAAAACUGGACUCCUGUAAUUAAUAAUGGAAGAUGUUUGAACCAUCUAUAUGGUGUAAAAUCUUGUAAAUACUGUAGAAAAUGCUUGAAGGUAUAAGUAGAGCCUUGUUCAUCAACCCAAUGGGUUGUGGAUGGCUGGUUGGUGGGAGCGACCUCUCUGUUUGUUUAUGUUUAUUAGAAUUGGUUUAUCUUUAUGUUAAAUUUGGUUGUUCUUCCACAUUUUUUCUACAGAUUCAUAGAAGAAAGGUACGGGCAUGGCAAAUGAAUAUACAUAUGCCUAUUUGAUUUCUCCGCUUGUAUGCAUCACAUAUCUACAUCCUGCUAAUUAGCUCAUGAAUGGUGUGGCCUUCAAUUUCUGAUGGUCUCCAUAGGAAAUGGAAUUUGUGAAAUAACCUACCAUGUUACCUACUCUGAAAUAGAUAUAUUAUAUAUGAAAAUCAUGCUAUAGCCGGCUAUUUGGUAAGAAAGAAAACCUGAAUAUUCUUAGGCUACUUUUUUGCAGAAAACUCUUACUAUGCGUAUUUAAAGUGUCAAGUCAUUUAAGUGAUUAAAUUAGGGGAUUUCUGUGCGAGACUUGUCUCUUUCUGUAAUACAGUUUCUGUUUGCCAGAGUACAAAAUAUUUGGUGAAAGGCAAUGAUACCCUAGAUGGGACGCCAGUUGUAUCUAUGAAUUAUGACUCGAAUUGGUAUUAGCUUACAUUUCUUGACAUUCAUCGACAUUCAAAUGUGAUCUAUCUGGAUAGCAGUUUAAUAUUUGAACUGUUCUGUGGGUUAGCAGGUGUCCCCCAGAUGUUGUGUUACUAAAAAGAAAUAUGCACGAGUGAGUGAUGGUAUAUGUCAGAAAUUGCUCGAGCUGAAACCAAGAAUGCCUCGUGGAAUUUUUUGUAUAAAUUUUAUGAUGCACAAGUUGUUCUUUAUCAUUCAGGAGUACAACAAGAUGUUGAAGCCAAGCCAUGUGUCCCAAUAGUUUAUUAAUAGAUAAAAUGUUGUUUUUCUUUACUGACUAUAGAGCUCAAUUUUGCAUCUGGGUUUCUGUUUACUUUUCUCUACUUAUCGUGCUUGCUUUUCAUGGCAGAUGUAUUCUCCACAGAGCAAUGCUUGCUCGCACAGCUAGUCUUUCUUAUUUAAUUAUUUUAUGAUAGUUAUGCGACUGUCAAAAUA